rnacentral:rRNA from 1 species
GGCUUAGAGUUUGAUCAUGGCUCAGGAUGAACGCUGGCGGCGUGCCUAAUACAUGCAAGUCGGACGCAAUGCUUCGGCAUUGAGUGGCGAACGGGUGAGUAAGACAUAAGCAACCUGCCCCUGUGAGGGGGAUAACUGCUGGAAACGGCAGCUAAGACCGCAUAGGCAUAGAGGACGCAUGUCGACUAUGUUAAAUAUCCCACGGGAUAGCACAGGGAUGGGCUUAUGACGCAUUAGCCAGCUGGUGAGGUAACGGCUCACCAGGGCGACGAUGCGUAGCCGGCCUGAGAGGGUGGACGGCCACACUGGGACUGAGACACGGCCCAGACUCCUACGGGAGGCAGCAGUAGGGAAUUUUCGGCAAUGGGCGAAAGCCUGACCGAGCAACGCCGCGUGAAGGAAGAAGUCAUUCGUGAUGUAAACUUCUGUUAUGAAGGAAGAACGGCAGAUGGAGGGAAUGCCAUGUGCGUGACGGUACUUCAUGAGGAAGCCACGGCUAACUACGUGCCAGCAGCCGCGGUAAUACGUAGGUGGCGAGCGUUAUCCGGAAUCAUUGGGCGUAAAGAGGGAGCAGGCGGCAGUGCAGGUCUGCGGUGAAAGACCGGAGCUAAACUUCGGUAAGCCGUGGAAACCGCACAGCUAGAGAGCAUCAGAGGAUCGCG